CAGAAACAUGAAUAUCGGAUACAGGUUUGUUUGUUUACCUAAGUGACGGUGUCAGAAACAUGAAUAUCGGAUACAGGUUUGUUUGUUUACUUUAGUGACCAUGUCAGAAACAUGAAUGUCGGAUACUUGUUUGUUUGUUUACUUAAGUGACGGUGUCAGAAACAUGAAUAUCAGAUACAGGUUUGUUUGUUUACUUAAGUGACGGUGUCAGAAACAUGAAUAUUGGA